GGACGAACGCUGGCGGCGUGCUUAACACAUGCAAGUCGAGCGGUAAGGCCCUUUCGGGGGUACACGAGCGGCGAACGGGUGAGUAACACGUGGGUGACCUGCCCUUAGCUCUGGGAUAAGCCUAGGGAAACUGGGUCUAAUACCGGAUAUGACUCCAUGACGCAUGUUGUGGGGUGGAAAGCCUUGUGCGGCUAGGGAUGGGCCCGCGGCCUAUCAGCUUGUUGGUGGGGUGAUGGCCUACCAAGGCGACGACGGGUAGCCGGCCUGAGAGGGCGACCGGCCACACUGGGACUGAGACACGGCCCAGACUCCUACGGGAGGCAGCAGGUGGGGAAUCUUGCGCAAUGGGCGAAAGCCUGACGCAGCGACGCCGC
rnacentral:rRNA from 1 species